rfam:Triticum aestivum genome assembly, contig: Triticum_aestivum_CS42_TGACv1_scaffold_031593_1BL
AUUGUACUCCAUCUGUCCGGAAUUACUUGUCGCAGAAAUGAAUAUAUGUAGACAUAUUUUAGUUCUAGAUACAUCCAUUUUUAUCCAUUUCUACGACAAGUAAUUCGGGGCGGAAGGAGUAGAUA